rnacentral:rRNA from 1 species
UACAGGGGGUGCAAACGUUGCUCGGAAUCAUUGGGCGUAAAGCGCACGUAGGCGGUUCGUUAUGUCGGAUGUGAAAGCCCUUGGCUUAACCGAGGAAGUGCAUCCGAAACUGGCGAGCUAGAGUACUAAAGAGGAUCGCGGAAUUCCCGGUGUAGAGGUGAAAUUCGUAGAUAUCGGGAGGAACACCGGUGGCGAAGGCAGCGAUCUGGGUAGAUACUGACGCUGAGGUGCGAAAGCGUGGGGAGCAAACAGG